UCUUUGUUAGUAUUUCGGUUAGUACACGCGCCUGUCAUUACACAACGACCGCGCGAAAGCUGGGUUCGACUCCCAGACAGAGAG
rnacentral:tRNA from 1 species